ACUGGCGGCGGGCCUACACAUGCAAGUCGAGCGGAUGAAAGGAGCUUGCUCCUACAUUCAGCGGCGGACGGGUGAGUAAUGCCUAGGAAUCUGCCUGGUAGUGGGGGACAACGUUUCGAAAGGAACGCUAAUACCGCAUACGUCCUACGGGAGAAAGCAGGGGACCUUCGGGCCUUGCGCUAUCAGAUGAGCCUAGGUCGGAUUAGCUAGUUGGUGAGGUAAUGGCUCACCAAGGCGACGAUCCGUAACUGGUCUGAGAGGAUGAUCAGUCACACUGGAACUGAGACACGGUCCAGACUCCUACGGGAGGCGGCAGUGGGGAAUAUUGGACAAUGGGCGAAAGCCUGAUCCAGCCAUGCCGCGUGUGUGAAGAAGGUCUUCGGAUUGUAAAGCACUUUAAGUUGGGAGGAAGGGUUGUAGAUUAAUACUCUGCAAUUUUGACGUUACCGACAGAAUAAGCACCGGCUAACUCCGUGCCAGCAGCCGCGGUAAU
rnacentral:rRNA from 1 species